rnacentral:rRNA from 1 species
AACGCUGGCGGCAGGCCUAAGACAUGCAAGUCGUACGCGAACGACCUUUCGGGGUUAAGUAGAGUGGCGAACGGGUUAGUAACGCGUGGGAACAUACACAGCACAGGGGGAUAACCAUUGGAAACGAUGGCUAAUACCGCAUACGCCCUAUUGGGGAAAGAUUUAUCGGUGUUGGAUUGGCCCGCGUUAGAUUAGCUAGUUGGUGGGGUAAUGGCUCACCAAGGCGACGAUUUAUAGCUGGUUUGAGAGGAUGAUCAGCAACACUGGAACUGAGACACGGUCCAGACUCCUACGGGAGGCAGCAGUCGGGAAUAUUGUGCAAUGGGGGCAACCCUGACACAGCCAUGCCGCGUGAGUGAAGAAGGCCUUAGGGUUGUAAAGCUCUUUCAGAUGUGAGGAUGAUGACGAUAGCAUCAGAAGAAGCUCCGGCUAACUUCGUGCCAGCAGCCGCGGUAAUACGAAGGGAGCUAGCGUUGUUCGGAAUUACUGGGCG